AAGAUCUCAAUUUUAAAACAUUACAUCCUUUUAAAACAAUAAAUUAAGUUUUUAUUUAUUUAAAUAGAUAUGUUGUUCGUUAUGAACAGGAUGUUACUGUGAAGUUGUGUGAAGAUUUUCUUUCUUUUGCUUUGCCAUAAAAAAUGAAUAUGAUCAUAUUGUGGGUAAUUGUCUUAACCAUAAUUAUAGCUCUGUUUUCUAGGGAAACAAUGAAGUAUAUUCUUAGAAUAAAAUAAGUUUAGAAAAUACUCUUUAAUCAUCCCAGUGCAAUUAUAUUCAUUAUUUAUUUUGCUUUUUAAAUCAGUAAAUUAUUAGCUACUGAAAAUUAUAAUUACUGCCAAUUAAUAGAUAAGGCUCUACAUAUUCAAUCAUUUAAUUAAUAAUAUUACUUUUUUAUUUUACAAGUAAAUCAUUCAGUUUUGGAAAUUUAAGUCAACAAAUAAAUAUUAAUAUUCUUUAUAGAAUGUUACAUUAUUUAAGACUAAAAGUGUACCUAAGUUUGGCUGUUGUGAAGUUUUAAAAAUGCAUAUGCUUUUAUUUUAAAAGGUAUUAAUAUUAUAUAUUAUUAGGAUAUUAUAUGAGCAAACAUGUUUUCUUCAAUUUUUUUAACCGUGUAUGUAGUCAGUCAUUACUAAGAGUGAAUAGGGAGUCACUGCUCCAUCCCCUUAUCUGUGCAUACCACUGUUCUGCAGACACUUUGGUGAUGAUAUAUAGGAUCAAGAUGUUUGGACAAAGAGCCUGUUUCCUGAUCCCCUAGCUAAUGUGUGUAUAUGUGAAAAAAAUAAAUAACAUUCAUAUGUGUGCUGUCUUUUGUUCAUAAUCAAAGCAGUCUCAAUGAUUUUCUCACAGGGGUGCUCUCUUGUAUAUAUUUGAGGACACUGUCAGAUUUUUAAAUCCAGGCUUAGAAUAGUGACUAUAACCAGGUUUAUCUUCUUUUUUGCAUCCAUGGUAUAUUUCUUCUAAACUGUACCCAAAUUCAUUAUCAGAAUUUCUUUUAACGAAGUGCUUCAGCUGUAACCUUCAGUUGAUGAACUUUGCUCUUUAAGUGAAGUAUUAUUUGUUAAUUCA